GAUGAACGCUAGCGAUAGGCUUAACACAUGCAAGUCGAGGGGUAACGUGUUGGAAGCUUGCUUCCGAUGACGACGACCGGCGGAUGGGUGCGUAACGCGUAUGCAACUUGCCUCACAGUGGAGAAUAACCCGGAGAAAUCCGGACUAAUACUCCAUACACUCUUAAGUACGCCUGUACAUGAGAGGCAAGAUUUAUCGCUGUGAGAUAGGCAUGCGUCCUAUUAGGUAGUUGGUGAGGUAACGGCUCACCAAGCCGACGAUAGGUAGGGGUGCUGAGAGGCAGAUCCCCCACAUUGGGACUGAGACACGGCCCAAACUCCUACGGGAGGCAGCAGUGAGGAAUAUUGGUCAAUGGAGGAAACUCUGAACCAGCCAAGUCGCGUGAAGGAAGAAUGUCCUAAGGAUUGUAAACUUCUUUAGCGAGCGAGUAAGGACUUCCACGUGAUGGGAGUUUGAAAGUAGCUCGAGAAUAAGUAUCGGCUAACUCCGUG
rnacentral:rRNA from 1 species